GAUGAAGAACGCAGCGAAAUGCGAUACGUAAUGUGAAUUGCAAAUUCAGUGAAUCAUCGAGUCUUUGAACGCACAUUGCGCCCCCUGGUAUUCCGGGGGGCAUGCCUGUCCGAGCGUCAUUGCUGCCCUCAAGCACGGCUUGUGUGUUGGGCCCCGUCCUCCGAUCCCGGGGGACGGGCCCGAAAGGCAGCGGCGGCACCGCGUCCGGUCCUCGAGCGUAUUGGGCUUUGUCACCCGCUCUGUAGGCCCGGCCGGCGCUUGCCGAUCAACCCAAAUUUUUAUCCAGGUUGACCUCGGAUCAGGUAGGGAUACCCGCUGAACUUAAGCAUAUCAAUAAGCGGAGGA
rnacentral:misc_RNA from 1 species